GCUCUUGUGGCUGGAGAAGGGAAUGAAUACUUUUACAUCCUAACGGUCACUUGAAUUGUCCACCCUUUCUCCCUGCAGAGAAUGCACAGGAAUCACUGCUAAUGCCACAAGGUGGUGGAAAUUCAGCAACCACAUUAUCAGUUCUACCCAUUACCGUCUCAACUCAGCUGUCUCCCAUGACUGCGGCACGUUCAACACCACCAGCACACUCAACUUCCACUGUCCCAGAAGACAUUAAUCACCCAACCACAUCAUCAG